rnacentral:rRNA from 1 species
AAUGAACGCUGGCGGCAGGCCUAACACAUGCAAGUCGAAAGAUAGGGGGACGGGUGAGUAAUGUAUGGGGACUGCACGAUAGAGGGGGAUAACUACUGGAAAAGGUAGCUAAUACCGCAUACUAUCGGAUAACACAUAUGGGAUGAGAUAGUAGGUGAGGUAAUGGCUAACCUAGGCGACGAUCCGUAGCUGGUCUGAGAGGAUGAUCAGCCACAGUGGGACUGAGACACGGCCCAGACUCCUACGGAGGCAGCAGUGGGGAAUAUUUCACAAUUGGAGCAAGCCUGAUGCAGCCAUGCCGCGUGUAUGAAGAAGGCCCUAGGGUUGUAAAGUACUUUCAGUCGGGAGGCCUUACCCACAGAAGAAGCACCGGCUAACUCAGUGCCAGCAGCCGCGGUAAUUC